AGUCGAACGAGAAUCUAAUGAAGGAGACUUCGGUCAACGGAUUUAGAGGAUUAAAUGCGGACGGGUGAGUAACGCGUGAGCAACCUGCCUUCGAGUGGGGGACAACAGUUGGAAACGACUGCUAAUACCGCAUAAAAUGUACUAUUCGCAUGAUUGGUACAUCAAAGGAGCAAUCCGCUUGAAGAUGGGCUCGCGUCUGAUUAGAUAGUAGGCGGGGUAACGGCCCACCUAGUCAACGAUCAGUAGCCGGGUUGAGAGAUCGAACGGCCACAUUGGGACUGAGAUACGGCCCAGACUCCUACGGGAGGCAGCAGUGGGGAAUAUUGGGCAAUGGGCGCAAGCCUGACCCAGCAACGCCGCGUGAAGGAAGAAGGCUUUCGGGUUGUAAACUUCUUUGACAGGGGAAGAUAAUGACGGUACCCUGAAAACAAGCUCCGGCUAACUACGUGCCAGCAGCCGCGGUGAUACGUAGGGAGCAAGCGUUAUCCGGAAUUACUGGGUGUAAAGGGCGCGUAGGCGGGUCUGCAAGUCAGAUGUGAAAUCCAUGGGCUUAACCCAUGAACUGCAUUUGAAACUGUAGGUCUUGAGUGAUGGAGAGGCAGGCGGAAUUCCCGGUGUAGCGGUGGAAUGCGUAGAUAUCGGGAGGAACACCAGUGGCGAAGGCGGCCUGCUGGACAUUAACUGACGCUGAGGCGCGAAAGCGUGGGGAGCAAACAGGAUUAGAUACCCUGGUAGUCCACGCCGUAAACGAUGGAUACUAGGUGUGGGGGGACUGACCCUCUCCGUGCCGCAGUUAACACAAUAAGUAUCCCACCUGGGGAGUACGGUCGCAAGACUGAAACUCAAAGGAAUUGACGGGUCCCCGCACAAGCAGUGGAUUAUGUGGAUUAAUUCGUCGCAACGCGAAGAACCUUACCAGGGCUUGACAUCCUACUAACGAAGUAGAAAUACAUUAGUGCCCUUCGGGGAAAGUAGAGACAGGUGGUGCAUGGUGUCGUCAGCUCGUGUCGUGAGAUGUAGGGUUAAGUCCCCACGAGCGCAACCCCUAU
rnacentral:rRNA from 1 species